CCUACGGGGUGCAGCAGUGAGGAAUAUUGGUCAAUGGGCGUAAGCCUGAACCAGCCAAGUCGCGUGAGGGAUGAAGGUUCUAUGGAUCGUAAACCUCUUUUAUAAGGGAAUAAAGUGUGGGACGUGUCCUGUUUUGUAUGUACCUUAUGAAUAAGGAUCGGCUAACUCCGUGCCAGCAGCCGCGGUAAUACGGAGGAUCCGAGCGUUAUCCGGAUUUAUUGGGUUUAAAGGGUGCGUAGGCGGCCUUUUAAGUCAGCGGUGAAAGUCUGUGGCUCAACCAUAGAAUUGCCGUUGAAACUGGGAGGCUUGAGUAUGUUUGAGGCAGGCGGAAUGCGUGGUGUAGCGGUGAACUGCUUAGAUAUCACGCAGAACCCCGAUUGCGAAGGCAGCCUGCCGAGCCAUGACUGACGCUGAUGCACGAAAGCGUGGGGAUCAAACAGGAUUAGAUACCCCUGUAGUC
rnacentral:rRNA from 1 species